rnacentral:rRNA from 1 species
UAACACUAACUGGAGGACCGAACCGACUAAUGUUGAAAAAUUAGCGGAUGACUUGUGGCUGGGGGUGAAAGGCCAAUCAAACCGGGAGAUAGCUGGUUCUCCCCGAAAGCUAUUUAGGUAGCGCCUCGUGAAUUCAUCUCCGGGGGUAGAGCACUGUUUCGGCAAGGGGGUCAUCCCGACUUACCAACCCGAUGCAAACUGCGAAUACCGGAGAAUGUUAUCACGGGAGACACACGGCGGGUGCUAACGUCCGUCGUGAAGAGGGAAACAACCCAGACCGCCAGCUAAGGUCCCAAAGUCAUGGUUAAGUGGGAAACGAUGUGGGAAGGCCCAGACAGCCAGGAUGUUGGCUUAGAAGCAGCCAUCAUUUAAAGAAAGCGUAAUAGCUCACUGGUCGAGUCGGCCUGCGCGGAAGAUGUAACGGGGCUAAACCAUGCACCGAAGCUGCGGCAGCGACACUAUGUGUUGUUGGGUAGGGGAGCGUUCUGUAAGCCUGUGAAGGUGUACUGUGAGGU